rnacentral:misc_RNA from 1 species
GAAGUUGUGUUGUGAAAAAACCAAUUGAUUGGGGAGCGAACAUAAUAAUGCAUCAUGGUGAAUGUUAUGAAAGGAGUUCUUGUUGAAUGUGAUCCAGCGAUGAAACAGUUCUUGCUCCACUUGGAUGAGACGCUUGCACUCGGCAGAAAGUUUAUCCUUCAAGACCUGGACGAAACACACCUGUUCAUCUCGUCUGACAUUGUUGACACACUGCAAGCCCGAGUUGAUGACUUGAUGGACCAACUCAGUAUUCCAGUGCACGAUAAAGGAUUAUAAUUUAUUAAUUUCAUAAAGUAACCAAACAAGCCACAAUAAUGUCUACAAGAGAGUCGGGUAGAGUCAAAGAUGUAGAGAAAAGGAGAGUUUUAGACGAUGCAGCGAGAAAAAGGAGAGCUCGGAAAGCUGUUGAAGCAUUGGAACAGGAUAACUUCCACGAAGACCCGCAUGCUGACCUGGUUAUGUCAAAAAAGGUGCCCAAAUUUGCAGAUUCCAAUGAAAAACCGACAAGAAAGAAAAAAUCUAAAAGUGCUGAGUAUUACAAAAUGAGAUUCAGAAAGACAUUUGCUCAGUUAGUCGAGGAGGAUGCAAGUUUCAGACCGGAUCCACCGAACUACUUGUCGGCUCAAGUUGGACCGUCCAAAUUUCCCGACCGCCAUUUCUGCGCUGUAUGUGGAUUUCCAUCUAACUAUACCUGUAUAUCCUGUGGUGCUAGAUACUGCUCCGUACGAUGUCUUGGAACACACUUAGACACGAGAUGCCUCAAAUGGACUGUCUAAAUUAUUUACUUAUUAACAAUUCUGCGCAAUUAUUAAUAUUAGAUUCGAAUAAUCGCAAGCAAUAAAGUAAUUGUCAACA